rnacentral:rRNA from 1 species
CCUACGGGAGGCAGCAGUGAGGAAUAUUGGUCAAUGGACGCAAGUCUGAACCAGCCAUGCCGCGUGCAGGAAGACGGUCCUAUGGAUUGUAAACUGCUUUUGUACGGGAAGAAACCCUCCUACGUGUAGGAGGCUGACGGUACCGUAAGAAUAAGGAUCGGCUAACUCCGUGCCAGCAGCCGCGGUAAU